UUAGUAUAGUGGUGAGUAUCCCCGCCUGUCACGCGGGAGACCGGGGUUCGAUUCCCCGACGGGGAGAGAUCGGUAGAGCAUG